GACGAACGCUGGCGGCGUGCUUAACACAUGCAAGUCGAACGGAAAGGCCCUGCUUUUGUGGGGUGCUCGAGUGGCGAACGGGUGAGUAACACGUGAGUAACCUGCCCUUGACUUUGGGAUAACUUCGGGAAACGGGGGCUAAUACCGGAUAGGAGCUCCGGCUGCAUGGUGGGGGUUGGAAAUUUUCGGCGGUUGGGGAUGGACUCGCGGCUUAUCAGCUUGUUGGUGGGGUAGUGGCUUACCAAGGCUUUGACGGGUAGCCGGCCUGAGAGGGUGACCGGCCACAUUGGGACUGAGAUACGGCCCAGACUCCUACGGGAGGCAGCAGUGGGGAAUAUUGCACAAUGGGCGGAAGCCUGAUGCAGCAACGCCGCGUGCGGGAUGACGGCCUUCGGGUUGUAAACCGCUUUCGCCUGUGACGAAGCGUGAGUGACGGUAAUGGGUAAAGAAGCACCGGCUAACUACGUG
rnacentral:rRNA from 1 species